AGAGUUUGAUCCUGGCUCAGGACGAACGCUGGCGGCGCGCUUAACACAUGCAAGUCGAGCGAUGAAAUUUUAACAGAUCCCUUCGGGGUGAAGAUAAAAUGGAUUAGCGGCGGACGGGUGAGUAACACGUGAGUAACCUGCCUUAGACAUUGGGAUAGCCUCGGGAAACCGGGAUUAAUACCGAAUAAAAUCAUAGGUGCACAUGCACUAAUGAUCAAAACUCCGGUGGUCUAAGAUGGACUCGCGUCCCAUUAGCUAGUUGGUAGGGUAACGGCCUACCAAGGCGACGAUGGGUAGCCGGCCUGAGAGGGUGAACGGCCACAUUGGAACUGAGAAACGGUCCAAACUCCUACGGGAGGCAGCAGUGGGGAAUAUUGCACAAUGGGGGAAACCCUGAUGCAGCGACGCCGCGUGAACGAAGAAGGCUUUCGAGUCGUAAAGUUCUUUUAUAUGGGAAGAUAAUGACGGUACCAUAAGAAAAAGCCCCGGCUAACUACGUGCCAGCAGCCGCGGUAAUACGUAGGGGGCUAGCGUUGUCCGGAAUCACUGGGCGUAAAGGGUUCGCAGGCGGAAAUGCAAGUCAGGUGUAAAAGGCAGUAGCUUAACUACUGUAAGCAUUUGAAACUGCAUAUCUUGAGAAGAGUAGAGGUAAGUGGAAUUUUUAGUGUAGCGGUGAAAUGCGUAGAUAUUAAAAAGAAUACCGGUGGCGAAGGCGACUUACUGGGCUCAUUCUGACGCUGAGGAACGAAAGCGUGGGUAGCAAACAGGAUUAGAUACCCUGGUAGUCCACGCU
rnacentral:rRNA from 1 species